UACGUAGGGGGCUAGCGUUGUCCGGAAUCAUUGGGCGUAAAGCGCGCGUAGGCGGCCUGAUAAGUCCGGUGUGAAAGUCACAGGCUCAACCUGUGGAUGCCGCUGGAAACUGUUUGGCUCGAGUCCGGAAGGGGCGAGUGGAAUUCCUGGUGUAGCGGUGAAAUGCGUAGAUAUCGUAAGGAAGACCAGUGGCGAAGGCGGGUCUCUGGACAGUUCCUGACGCUGAGGCACGAAGGCCAGGGGAGCAAACGGG
rnacentral:rRNA from 1 species